GGGUAACUGAAGGAUCAUUACCCUUAUUAGGUUUCCCGAUGCUGGAAUGCUCGGUAACUCAAAGUUUCCGGCGCCUUAGGAUGGAUUCUGCGGCCGAUUAGGUUGUUGUUGGGGUAACGGCCCAACAAGCCCGUAAUCGGUACGGGUUGUGGGAGCAAGAGCCCGGAGUUGGAUUCUGAGACACGAAUCCAGGCCCUACGGGGCGCAGCAGGCGCGAAAACUUUACAAUGCGGGCAACCGUGAUAAGGGAACCUCGAGUGCCUGUACAUGCAGGCUGUCUGGGUGUCUAAAACACACCCAAAGAAAGGGCCGGGCAAGACCGGUGCCAGCCGCCGCGGUAAUACCGGCGGCUCGAGUGGUGGCCACUUUUAUUGGGCUUAAAGCGUUCGUAGCUGGGUUGUUAAGUCUCUUGGGAAAUCCGGCGGCUUAACCGUCGGGCGUCUAAGAGAUACUGGCAAUCUUGGAACCGGGAGAGGUGAGGGGUACUUCGGGGGUAGGAGUGAAAUCCUGUAAUCCUCGAGGGACCACCUGGUGGCGAAGGCGCCUCACCAGAACGGCUUCGACAGUGAGGGACGAAAGCUGGGGGAGCAAACCGGAUUAGAUACCCGGGUAGUCCCAGCCGUAAACGAUGUGCGUUAGGUGUAUCGACGACCACGAGUCGUCGAGGUGCCGAAGGGAAACCGUGAAACGUACCGCCUGGGAAGUACGGUCGCAAGGCUGAAACUUAAAGGAAUUGGCGGGGGAGCACCACAACAGGUGGAGCCUGCGGUUUAAUUGGACUCAACGCCGGGAAGCUCACCGGAUAGGACAGCGGAAUGAUUGCCGGGCUGAAGACUCUGCAUGACUAGCUGAGAGGAGGUGCAUGGCCGUCGUCAGUUCGUACUGUGAAGCAUCCUGUUAAGUCAGGCAACGAGCGAGACCCACGCCAACAGUUGCCAGCACGAUCCCCGGAUCGGUGGGGACACUGUUGGGACCGCCUCUGCUAAAGAGGAGGAAGGAAUGGGCAACGGUAGGUCAGCAUGCCCCGAAUUAUCCGGGCUACACGCGGGCUACAAUGGGCAGGACAAUGGGUAUCGACACCGAAAGGUGAAGGCAAUCUCCUAAACCUGUCCGUAGUUCGGAUUGUGGGCUGUAACUCGCCCACAUGAAGCUGGAAUCUGUAGUAAUCGCGUCAAAA
rnacentral:rRNA from 1 species